rnacentral:rRNA from 1 species
AGAGUUUGAUCAUGGCUCAGGAUGAACGCUGGCGGCGUGCUUAACACAUGCAAGUCGAACGGACUCAUAUUGAAACCUAGUGAUGUAUGAGUUAGUGGCGGACGGGUGAGUAACGCGUGGAAAACCUGCCGUAUACUGGGGGAUAACACUUAGAAAUAGGUGCUAAUACCGCAUAAGCGCACAGCUUCGCAUGAAGCGGUGUGAAAAACUCCGGUGGUAUACGAUGGUUCCGCGUCUGAUUAGCUAGUUGGCGGGGUAACGGCCCACCAAGGCGACGAUCAGUAGCCGGCCUGAGAGGGUGAACGGCCACAUUGGGACUGAGACACGGCCCAAACUCCUACGGGAGGCAGCAGUGGGGAAUAUUGCACAAUGGGGGAAACCCUGAUGCAGCGACGCCGCGUGAGUGAAGAAGUAUCUCGGUACGUAAAGCUCUAUCAGCAGGAAAGAAAAUGACGGUACCUGACUAAGAAGCCCCGGCUAACUACGUGCCAGCCGCCGCGGUAAUUC